rnacentral:rRNA from 1 species
AUACGGAGGGUGCAAGCGUUAAUCGGAAUUACUGGGCGUAAAGCGCGCGUAGGCGGCUUUGUAAGUCGGAUGUGAAAGCCCCGGGCUUAACCUGGGAAUUGCAUUCGAUACUGCAGAGCUAGAGUAUGGUAGAGGGAAGUGGAAUUUCCGGUGUAGCGGUGAAAUGCGUAGAUAUCGGAAGGAACACCAGUGGCGAAGGCGACUUCCUGGGCCAAUACUGACGCUGAGGUGCGAAAGCGUGGGGAGCAAACAGGAUUAGAAACCCCGGUAGUCC